rnacentral:lncRNA from 1 species
UGACCAAACGUGAUAGAACUCAAAACUCUAAAGGUUAGACACUAAGACCAGCAGUUCUACACAUUGAUGUAACCAAAAACUCAACAAGAAAAGAUUAAGAAGAAUAGCAAAGGCUCAAACUUGUUGUUGGGAAUUUCACAUCUAACCCAUUUUGGGGGAUUUUUGGACUGUAGGUAAAGUAAAACGGGUAAAUCACUCACCAAAGAACCUCGCUCUGCUACCACAUGAUGUGAA